GCGAUGUCAUCAAAUUGCGGGAAGUCCCUAAAGCUCCAACUACCAAGCACAUUCAGAAAUGAAGGUGUGGCCAGGGUAAUGACCUAGGGUAAGGUAAAAAUGUUGGAGAUACUACAAUGGGUAAUCUGCAGCCAAGUCCUAAGGAGAUUUAAAUCUCUAUGGAUGCAGUUCACAGACUAAAUGGUGACAGGCAUUUUGAAAAAAUAGAUCAAUUUGCUCAAGAUAUAGUCGAGCCCACUGUGAAAGCAGUGUCUACGUGGAGGAAAUGUGUAGAACAUCCCAUCUUUGUAUAAGAUUCUACAACAUGGAGAGCCACGUAGAAAUUUAACGUUAAAAAUGCUUUUUUUAACGGUAAAUUGGGAAAUCUGUAAUUUGACUCAACACGGGGAAACUUACCAGGUCCAGACACAAUAAGGAUUGACAGAUUGAUAGCUCUUUCUUGAUUCUGUGGAAAGUGGUGCAUGGCCGUUUUUAGUUGGUGGAUUGAUUUGUCUGGUUAAUUCCGUUAACGAACGAGACCUAAACCUACUAACUAGUUAAUGGUAACUUGGACUCUAUCUAGAGACCUCAUAUUUAUCCAAACUUCUUAGAGGGACUCUUUAUACUUAGUGAAUGGAAGUUAGCAC
rnacentral:rRNA from 1 species